rnacentral:rRNA from 1 species
GACGAACGCUGGCGGCGUGCUUAACACAUGCAAGUCGAGCGGUAAGGCUCCUUCGGGCGUACACGAGCGGCGAACGGGUGAGUAACACGUGAGUAAUCUGCCCCUCACUUCGGGAUAACCACCGGAAACGGUGGCUAAUACCGAAUACGACCAGUCUUCGCAUGAGGUGCUGGUGGAAAGUCUUUUCGGUGAAGGAUGUGCUCGCGGCCUAUCAGCUUGUUGGUGGGGUAAUGGCCUACCAAGGCUUCGACGGGUAGCCGGCCUGAGAGGGUGACCGGCCACACUGGGACUGAGACACGGCCCAGACUCCUACGGGAGGCAGCAGUGGGGAAUAUUGGACAAUGGGCGAAAGCCUGAUCCAGCAACGCCGCGUGAGGGAUGACGGCCUUCGGGUUGUAAACCUCUUUCAGUACCGACGAAGCGCCCUGUCGGGUGGUGACGGUAGGUACAGAAGAAGGACCGGCCAACUACGUG